rnacentral:rRNA from 1 species
AGUGAACGCUGGCGGUAGGCCUAACACGCGCAUCUCACGGCACCACACUAUGAGCGUGCUCUCACGGGUGGCGCGAGGCGGACGCGGGUGGGAUAUACCUGAAUCUAUUUUUUCUUGGGGGGGAUCGCAUAGAAACUUACGCUCAUACCCCACACAACCCCUGCGUGAAAGCGCAGGAGCUCCUCACCUUUCGCGCUAUAAUAUGCCGCUGUCGGAUAUGCUAGUUGGCGGGGUAAAGGCCCACCAAGGCGACGAUCCGUAGCUGGUCUGAGAGGAUGAUCAGCCACACUGGAACUGAGACACGGUCCAGACUCCUACGGGAGGCAGCAGUGGGGAAUAUUGGACAAUGGGCGCAAGCCUGAUCCAGCCAUACCGCGUGGGUGAAGAAGGCCUUCGGGUUGUAAAGCCCUUUUGUUGGGAAAGAAAAGCAGCAGGUUAAUACCCCGCUGUUCUGACGGUACCCAAAGAAUAAGCACCGGCUAACUUCGUG